AGUCAACCUAACCUAUGGACGGGGGUAACCUCGGGAAACUGAGAAUAAUACCCGAUAGAUCAUAAUGCCUGGAAGGGUUUAUGAUCCAAAUGAUUUAUCGCCAUAGGAUGGGACUGCGGUCUAUCAGCUUGUUGGUGAGGUAAUGGCCCACCAAGGCUAUAACAGAUACGGGCUCUGAGAGGAGGGGCCCGGAGAUGGGUACUGAGACACGGACCCAGGUCCUAUGGGGCGCAGCAGGCGAGAAACCUUUGCAAUGUGCGAAAGCACGACAAGGUUAAUCCGAGUGGUUCCUGCUAAAGGAAUCUUUUGUUAGUCCUAAAAACACUGAUGAAUAAGGGGUGGGCAAGUUCUGGUGUCAGCCGCCGCGGUAAUACCAGCACCUCGAGUGGUCAGGAGGUUUAUUGGGCCUAAAGCAUCCGUAGCCGGCUGCACAAGUUUCCGGUUAAAUCCACAUGCUUAACGUAUGGGCUGCCGGAAAUACUAUGCAGCUAGGGAGUGGGAGAGGUAGACGGUACUCGAUAGGAAGGGGUAAAAUCCUUUGAUCUAUUGAUGACCACCUGUGGCGAAGGCGGUCUACCAGAACACGUUCGACGGUGAGGGAUGAAAGCUGGGGGAGCAAACCGGAUUAGAUACCCGGGUAGUCCCAGCUGUAAACGAUGCAGACUCGGUGAUGCAUUGGCUUGUGGCCAGUGCAGUGCCGCAGGGAAGCCGUUAAGUUUGCCGCCUGGGGAAGUACGUACGCAAGUAUGAAACUUAAAGGAAUUGGCGGGGGAGCACCACAAGGGGUGAAGCCUGCGGUUC
rnacentral:rRNA from 1 species